rnacentral:misc_RNA from 1 species
GGAACGUGCUGUUUGGAAUGAUACAGCUUUCCUUAAUGUGAGUGUCACCUUAGUUGUUUCUACCAAUGGGCUAGAACGACGACAAAAUUUGUCAAGCCCUAAGCAUAUUGUUUAAAAUACAUUAGAUAGCAGAUGAUACAAUGAACAUUGUCUUCCUGAGCAAUCAACACUGCUUUUCCUCCCUCCUCUCCCUCUUGUUGCUAUUGCUUUCUUGCAUUUAUUACUUCUACUUCCUGUCUUUUGCUUUUAAUCCCUGCACGUCCUUUAAAUUCUCAACCCUUCAUUACCCCUCUAGGUUCUUGUUUACAGUUUUACUAUUCUUGUUGUGCUGAUUAUCAGAAAAUUAUGUUGUUGCUAUUGAUAUAUUUGUUGUUUAUCCUUGCAGUCAAUCAAUGUAAUGGAUUAUUCGUUACUUGUUGGGGUAGAUACCGAACGACGAGAGCUUGUAUGUGGGAUCAUCGAUUAUCUUAGGCAGUACACGUUGGACAAGCAACUGGAAACGUGGGUGAAGUCUUCCCUUGUUGUUCCGAAGAAUGUGUUGCCGACCGUCAUCUCUCCAAAAGAGUACAAGAAAAGGUUCAGAAAGUUCAUGUCUACACAUUUCUUGAGUGUCCCAGAUAAUUGGUGCUUGCAGAGAUCCUCUGAACCUUGUCAACUUUGUGGCAUCUCUUCUCAAUCAGAGUCUGAAAAGCAAGGAGGAUUAAAUGGGUUUUCUGAGUAGUUGAUGUUUGUAUGGCUCAUGAUUUUUGCUGUAAAUAGAACUUUGUCACAGUUAUAUGGUUAUCACCCCAUUAUUUGGCGAUUUUUAGCAUAUUUGUGGGGAUAGUUUUGUUCUUAUAGGUCUGUCUUUGAUUUUAUCAGCCAGAAAUGCUUGUGAAUUUUGUAAAU